AGCCCCAGGGUGUCAGCAUAUAAGAUUGCAAAUCUUAAGAGGCAAAUUAACCUUUGCUGGGGCUU
rnacentral:tRNA from 1 species